AUUGAACGCUGGCGGCAUGCCUUACACAUGCAAGUCGAACGGUAACAGGUCUUCGGAUGCUGACGAGUGGCGAACGGGUGAGUAAUACAUCGGAACGUGCCUAGUAGUGGGGGAUAACUACUCGAAAGAAUGGCUAAUACCGCAUGAGAUCUACGGAUGAAAGCAGGGGAUCGCAAGACCUUGUGCUACUAGAGCGGCCGAUGGCAGAUUAGGUAGUUGGUGGGAUGAAAGCUUACCAAGCCGACGAUCUGUAGCUGGUCUGAGAGGACGAUCAGCCACACUGGGACUGAGACACGGCCCAGACUCCUACGGGAGGCAGCAGUGGGGAAUUUUGGACAAUGGGCGCAAGCCUGAUCCAGCAAUGCCGCGUGCAGGAUGAAGGCCUUCGGGUUGUAAACUGCUUUUGUACGGAACGAAAAGCCCUGGGUUAAUACCCUGGGGUCAUGACGGUACCGUAAGAAUAAGCACCGGCUAACUACGUGCCAGCCGCCGCGGUAAGAC
rnacentral:rRNA from 1 species